CCUAAGAUUGUUUUCAGUUUUUUGAUACAAUGUUUUGACUUUUCAUCUUAUUUAAAAUUUUUUACGAUUAAUAUUUUUAUUAUUACUACAUGAUAAAACAUGAAGAGUACUUUAUCCGUGACUAAUUUUUUUAAGGUUUUGUAUAAAUUUUUUAAAUAAGACGAAUAGUCAAACGUUGGGCACGGAAAAAC
rnacentral:pre_miRNA from 1 species